GAAUAAAAACACAAUGACAUGGAAACAUUUCCCAGGAACUGCAUUUCCAACUUCGUUAUUAAUCUCUCAAAUCUAAGAAGUACUAAAGUGAAGACACAGAAAAAUAAGACUGCCUUCCAUAUUCAUCAAAGCAUCUGCACGCUUGACUGGGAAAAUCAUGAGGCUCCUGCCAAGUCGGUGGUUGCACUAGCUCUACCAUGACACUCUGAUGAGAAACUUGGGUUUCAAACCAGUGAACAGUUUAGGAGUUUUCCUGCCCUAAAUUUGUGAGACACAAUGGAGUGGAGAACUAAG